GGGGGUGUAGCUCACCUGGUAGAGCGCCAGCUUUGCAAGCUGGAUGUAGCAGGUUCAAGUCCUGUCACCUCCACCA
rnacentral:tRNA from 1 species